AGAGUUUGAUCCUGGCUCAGAACGAACGCUGGCGGCAUGCCUAACACAUGCAAGUCGAACGAGGGCUUCGGCCCUAGUGGCGCACGGGUGAGUAACGCGUGGGAACCUGCCCUGUGGUACGGAAUAACUCCGGGAAACUGGAGCUAAUACCGUAUGUGUCUUGAGGGACAAAGAUUUAUCGCCAUGGGAUGGGCCCGCGUAGGAUUAGCUUGUUGGUGGGGUAACGGCCUACCAAGGCAACGAUCCUUAGCUGGUCUGAGAGGGUGAUCAGCCACACUGGGACUGAGACACGGCCCAGACUCCUACGGGAGGCAGCAGUGGGGAAUAUUGGACAAUGGGCGCAAGCCUGAUCCAGCAAUGCCGCGUGAGUGAUGAAGGCCUUCGGGUUGUAAAGCUCUUUCGCACGCGACGAUGAUGACGGUAGCGUGAGAAGAAGCCCCGGCUAACUUCGUG
rnacentral:rRNA from 1 species